UCCGAGUUGACCCCGGCAGUCUCCUAUGAGUCCCCGGCCGAACCGCUGGCAACAUAGGACGAGGGUUGCGCUCGUUGCGGGACUUAACCCAACAUCUCACGACACGAGCUGACGACAACCAUGCACCACCUGUUCAGGGCCCUUGCGGACCUGACAUCUCUGCCAGUUUUCCCUGAAUGUCAAGCCUUGGUAAGGUUCUUCGCGUUGCCUCGAAUUAAGCAACAUGCUCCGCCGCUUGUGCGGGCCCCCGUCAAUUCCUUUGAGUUUUAGCCUUGCGGCCGUACUCCCCAGGCGGGGCGCUUAAUGCGUUAGCUGCGGCACGGAAACCGUGAACGGGUUCCCACACCUAGCGCCCAACGUUUACGGCGUGGACUAC
rnacentral:misc_RNA from 1 species